rnacentral:rRNA from 1 species
UACGUAGGGUGCAAGCGUUGUCCGGAAUUAUUGGGCGUAAAGAGCUCGUAGGCGGUUUGUCGCGUCUGCUGUGAAAACCCGAGGCUCAACCUCGGGCCUGCAGUGGGUACGGGCAGACUAGAGUGCGGUAGGGGAGACUGGAAUUCCUGGUGUAGCGGUGAAAUGCGCAGAUAUCAGGAGGAACACCGGUGGCGAAGGCGGGUCUCUUGGGCCGAUACUGACGCUGGAGGAGCGAAAGCGUGGGGAGCGAACAGG